UCAUAUUCUUCGGGAACCUUAGACAAAAACAUACAACAAAACCCUAGAGAGCUGUUUUUGAAAGAAGGAACGACCCACCCCUAUGAUUUUGGAGCACCCAGCAGCCUUCUUCAACCUUAGAACCAAAGCAAGCUGAACCCUAAACCCUAAGAGACCACCAGCCGCCGCCAGCCUUAACGCCCAAGACUCGUCGGAAAAUGAGCACCAGUGCCGCUGGCUACAAAUCAUCCAGCCGCCAGUCAUCUUUUCCAUCUCCAGCUGUCCACCACCGGCCAUCUCGCCGGAAUUCAACCACCUCCAUACACAAACGACCUCCAUCAGCCUCCACCCUAACCCCAAUCUCCAUCAGCGACCACACCCCGCCGAACCCCACCCCAAAAAAUGACCUUAGAGACGAAGAAAAAUAGCAGCAAUUGCUGCUUCUUCAACUCCUCCUCUUACUAACCAGUGGCGAACUCGCCGGAAAAUGCACAGCCAAAUCGCCGGAAAGAAAUGGGUCACGUUGUCAUCCAAGGUUCGUCGGUCCCGGUUCGUUUGUGCAAGGAUUCACGUUCGGGUUUUGUUUUUACUUCUGUUGCUUGCCUUAUUUGAUAUGCAAAGAAAGCAAAUUUCAGUUUGUUCAAUUUGUCGUUGUUUGCGCUUGUUCGAGCUUGAAAUUUCGUCACUGACGUUUUAUUUGUCCGUGCGCUCGAUCAGAAAUUAAGUAUAAGGAAUUUGCUUGCUAAGGUUCACUCUAACCCCUUCUCAGUUGUUUCAAUGCUUGGUUACAUUUUAAUGUUGAAUAUUUUUUGCCCUGCUUGUUUGUUUUAUUUUGCUACUCAUUUGUUCUGUUUUAGAAAAUUUAAUAAUGUUCUCUUUGUUUAAUUUUGUUUCUCUUCGUUGAUUUUGUUCUUCUGUGGUGUUCAUUUGAAAAUUCCAAAUAGUGGAUGCAGGUUAAGUAAUCAGGGUCGUUAAGAGUUUAUAGUGAAUUAAUUUGGGCCUUUUAAUAGUAAUUGGGUUUGGAUUUGUAGAAAUGAAAUCAAAGUGGAUGUUUGGCUGACACCUUAGGCUUUACAUGGAUAUAAUCUUUAACGAGUUUACGUUUUGGAUUAUUGUUAUACCAUGCCAAUUUGUUCAAUAGAGUCAUAGUUUAAAUUAAUAUGUUUGUUUGAUAUUUUCGUUAGAAGCAUGCUUAGGCUGACAAUACUCGGGUAGGCAAGCAUUACGAUUUUGUUAGUUUCAAGGCGAGAGGUCGUUCCCUUAGUUAAAUUUAUCUGGGGAAUGCCCCGAGGGAUUUGUAUAUAUUUUAUUUCAGGAGUAUGCCCCGAAGUGAAUGUAACGAAGGCCGCAUCUACACCGUGGAGGAAGUAUAGUGUAGGUUAGCUUAGGAUUUUAUUUUUUAUUAUUUUUAUUUUUAUUUUUCUUAUAUUAGGUGGGGACGACCUCGAUCCUCUUUUGUAUUUAUUUUUGUUUGUGUGUUUUCACCUCAAUUUGAGUAUUCUUAAAAGCCAACUUGAUCAUAUACGCAACCGUACUAGUUACGAGACUCGGGGAAUGCCUAAUACAUUCUUCCCAAGUCAAAUGAACCUCCUUACCCGAAUCUCUGGUGCAGACUUAGUUUCGGAGUUCAAAGUGUUUUAAAAGGAAAAUUUAUUUCUUAAAAAAUGGUGACCUGGCACACCGAAACCAAUGUCAGGUGGCGACUCUGAGUUAUUUCCUUUUGAACACAAUUUUUAUCACGUUCUAAUUGGAAAACCCUUUUCAAGCUUUACAAAUCACUUUUAUAUUUUUAAGAGGGUUAGUGAGGUUUGUAAAAAAAGGGUGUGACAGAGGAGAAUGAAGAAGGAUAUCGUUACAUAUGUGGCUCGGUGUUUGAAUUGUCAAUAGGUUAAGUAUGAGCAUCAGAGGCCGGGUGGUUUGUUUCAGAGGAUUGAGCUUCCCGAGUGGAAGUGGGAGCGGUUCAUUAUGGAUUUCAUUGUUGGACUCCCACAAACUCGGAGGAAAUUCGACGCAGUGUGGGUCAUUGUUGAUAGGCUGACCAUGUCAGCGGAUUUUAUUCUCGUGACAGUCUCUUAUUCUUCCAAGAGGUUAACUGAGAUCUAUAUCCAGGAGAUUGUUCGCCUUCAUGGUGUGCCCGAGUCUAUCAUUUUGGACUGUGGUACGCAGUUUACCUCACGGUUUUGGAGGGCCGUUCAGCGAGAGUUGGGCACACAAAUUGAGUUGAGCACAAUGUUUCAUCCUCAGACGGACGGGCAGUCCGAGCUGACUAUUCAGAUUUUAGAGGAUAUGCUCUGAGCUUGUGUCAUUGACUUUGGAGGCUCGUGAGAUCAGUUUUUGCCUUUAGCAGAGUUUGCCUACAACAACAUCUACCAGUCGAGUAUUCAGAUGGCUCCUUAUAAGACUUUAUAUCGUAGGUAGUGUCGGUCUCCGGUUGGAUGGUUUGAGCCGGGAGAGGCUCAGUUGUUGGGUAUGGAUCUGGUUCAGGAUGCCUUGGACAAGGUCAGGAUUAUUCCGGAUAGGCUUCGUACAGCUCAGUCCAGGCAAAAGAGCUAUGCCGACCGCAAGGUUUGAAAUUUGACUUUCAUGGACGGUGAGCAUGUAUUGCUUCGAGUGUCGCCUAUGGAGGGCGUGAUGAGAUUUGGGAAGAAGGGCAAGCUUAGCCCUAGGUUCAUUGGCCCUUUUGAGAUUCUUGAUCGAGUGGGAUAGGUGGCUUACAGACUUGCAUUGCCGCCGAGCUUAUCAGCCGUGCAUCCAGUGUUUCAUGUGUCCAUGCUUUGGAAAUAUCACAGCGAUCUAUCCCACGUGUUAGAUUUCAGCACUGUCCAGUUGGACAAGGACUUGUCUUAUGAGAAAGAGCCAAUAGCUAUUCUAGAUCGGCAGGUUCGUCAGUUGAGAUCGAAGAGUUUUUCUUCUACUCAUGUUUAGUGGAGAGACCAGCCUGCUGAGGCAUCGACCUGGGAGUCCGAGUCCGAUAUGCGGAGCCGUUAUCCCCAUCUUUUCCCCGACUUAGGUACUUCCUUCUUAUGUCUGUUCGAGGACGAACGGUUGUUUUAGAGGUGGAGAAUGUGUCGACCCAAAAGGUCAUCACUUAUUUUUAAAAUGAAUUCUUCAUUCUAAGGCCUUAAAAACCUCUUUCAGCAUCACCUCAAUUUGCGUGUGCAGUCCGUACGCGCGUAGUCGGAAAGCUAAUAUGUGAAAAUUUGUGAAAAAUAUUGAGAUUUUGACUUAAAAUGCAUUUAAGUUGACUUCGGUCAACAUUUUGGGUAAACGGACCCGGAGCCAUGAUUUGACGGUCCCGAAGGGUCCGUAAAAAAAUAUGGCACUUUGGCGUAUUUCCGGAAUCGAAUUCCGAGGUCCCAAGCCCGAGAAAUAAUUUUUUUAAAAAAUUAUUUUCUGGAAAAUUCUAUGAGUUUUGGAAAUGAAAUGCAUUUAGAAUUUGUUGGUAUUGGGCCCGUAUUCUAGUUCCGGAGCCCGGUAUAGGUCUUAUAUGUGAAAUAAGAUAAGUCUGUGAAAUUUGGUAAGAAACGGAAGUCGUUUGAGGUGAUUCGAACCCGUAGUUGUGAAAAUUUAUGUUUUGAAAGUUUUGAGAUUUUUUUAGAUUUUCAUACUAAAUUCGUUGUUUAAGAGGUUAUUUUGGCGAUUUGAUCGCACGGAUAAGUUCAUAUGAUGUUUUUGAGUUAGUAUGCAUUAUUGGUUUGGAGCCCUGAGGGCUCGAGUGAGUUUCAGAUAGGUUUCGAGAAGUUUUUGAACUCAUAAAAGUUGCAGGUUUUUCAGUUUCUAGUGUCUGGUGUUGACUAUUAUGCGAUCGCAUAGGGCCUUUCGCGAUCGCAUAGCUCAGUGUUAAGGGAGGAAAUCUGUAACACUAUGUGAUCACUUAGCAUGUUUCGCGAUCGCAUAGAGUGGUAGGUAGGCUGGGGGACUGGGGUAGCUUGUUCUGUGCGAUCACAUUUCCUCAUUCGCGAUCGCGUAGCAUAGGAAGCAGUCCACUAUGUGAUCACAUUCCUUUCUUCGCGAUCGCAUAGACCAAAAUCCGCACAGUUAUUUUUAAGUUCAAAAACAGAAUGUAUUAAGGGAAUUUCACCAUUUUUCACAAACUUCUUCUUCUCCACACCUUUUGGGCGAUUUUUGAAGAGAAACUUCACCAUAGCUUCAUAGGUAUGUAAUCCUAAGCUCGUUUUCUUCCAUUUUUAUCAACACCCAUUAGAUUUCUAGGCCUAAAACAUGAGAUUAAGGGUAGAAAGUUAGGGAUUUGUGUAGAGUUAGGGCUUUAUGAUUAUUUGGGAACUUGACCUCGUUUUGGGGUCAGAUUUCAAAACAAAUUAUAUAUUCGGGCUCGUGGGUGAAUGGGUGAUCAGGUUUUGGUCCGAACCUCGUAUUUUGACCAAGCGAGCCCGUGGUCGAUUUUUGGAUUUUUGGGAAGAAUGUUGGGAAAUCUAUAAUUAAGCAUUGGAAUUGAAUUGUUUAGCAUUUAUUGAUGUUAUUGAGUCAAAUAUGUCUAGAUACGAUUGAUUUGGAGUCGGGUUCGAAAGGAAAAGUGGUGCUUGAGGCCUGAUUUGGAUCAUUGUAGUCGAGGUAAGUGUUUGGUCUAACCUUAGCUUGAGGGAUUAGGAGUUGUGUCCUAUUUGCUACUUGUUUCUUGUUGAGUACGACGUAUAGGCAUGGUGACGAGUAUCUAUAUGUUAGUGUCGAGCAUGACCAUGGGCCUUAAAUUGAAUUAUGUUGUGUUAUUAAAUAAUACUACGGAUGCUUAAGUUGAUGAUUCUCUGUACUGAGCAAGGAUUAUGAUUAUUCUCGUGGAAAUUAGUUAUGACUGAGUAUUGGUGUUAGCUGAGAUAGUUAGAUGUUGGAACAAGUUUGGUUAUAGCUGUUUCUCCCUUGCCGGGAUGUAGUUUACUUAUACUGUCGAUUCCCUUGCCGGGAUAGUGUAGUUCUUGAUUGCUCCCUUGUCGGGACCCUUGUUAUGAUUGUUGUUGAUAUUAUAUGUGGAUCGGGUUGCAUGCCACAACAAUAAUAUAAUUGGAUCGGGUUGCACGCCGCAACAAUGAUAUAAUUGGAUCGAGUUGCACACCGCAAUAGUGAUAAAUGAUAUGGAUCGGGUUGCACACCGCAACAGUGUUGUUAUGUGAUAGGAUCGGGUUGCGCGCCGCAACAAUUGAUGAAAUAAAGUGUUUAUAAAUUGGUUACAAGUUCCUUAUUGCUUUGUUGUAGAUUCUAAGUUAUCCUUAUGCCUUUUCUUGAUUUACUGUUGAUAUUGACAUACCCCCGCAGCAUGUACCCCCUCUCAUCUUUACUUGCUGUUCCUGUUUUAUUUUCCGUUACAUAUUAUAUAACUGCAUAGGUUUAUUUGGUAGUAUGGUCCUAGCCUCGUCACUACUUCGCCGAGGUUAGGCUAGACACUUACCAGCACAUGAGAUUGGUUGUGCUGAUGCUACAUUCUGCACUAUGUGUAGAUCCCAGAGUAGCAUUUGGGCGGCUGUCUUCAGUCCAGCUAGAGAUCCCGAGGUAGUCCUGCAGGCGUUCGCAGGCCCGGCGUUCUCUUCUAUCUUAUUAUGUAUUUUGUUUUCAGUUGUUUCCGAGACAGAUUGUACUUUCCUUUCAGACAUUUGUUGUAGUAUUCAUAGACAAUCUGUGAUAUUGUGACGCCGGAUUCUGGGUAGAGACGUAUGUUGGCAUUGUCGUACUGGCUUUAGUUAUUUUAUUAGAU
rnacentral:lncRNA from 1 species